rnacentral:rRNA from 1 species
AUUGAACGCUGGCGGCAGACUUAACACAUGCAAGUCGAGCGAGGGAAGGUAGCUUGCUACCGGACCUAGCGGCGGACGGGUGAGUAAUGCUUAGGAAUCUGCCUAUUAGUGGGGGACAACAUCUCGAGAGGGAUGCUAAUACCGCAUACGUCCUACGGGAGAAAGCAGGGGAUCUUCGGACCUUGCGCUAAUAGAUGAGCCUAAGUCGGAUUAGCUAGUUGGUGGGGUAAAGGCCUACCAAGGCGACGAUCUGUAGCGGGUCUGAGAGGAUGAUCCGCCACACUGGGACUGAGACACGGCCCAGACUCCUACGGGAGGCAGCAGUGGGGAAUAUUGGACAAUGGGGGGAACCCUGAUCCAGCCAUGCCGCGUGUGUGAAGAAGGCCUUAUGGUUGUAAAGCACUUUAAGCGAGGAGGAGGCUACUCUAGUUAAUACCUAGGGAUAGUGGACGUUACUCGCAGAAUAAGCACCGGCUAACUCUGUGCCAGCCGCCGCGGUAA